rnacentral:rRNA from 1 species
AUUGAACGCUGGCGGCAGGCUUAACACAUGCAAGUCGAGCGAGCGGCGGACGGGUGAGUAAUGUCUUGGAAACUGCCUGAUGGAUGGGGAUAACUCCUGGAAACGGUAGCUAAUACCGCAUACCAUCAGAUGUGCCCAUAUUGGAUUAGCUAGUAGGUGGGGUAAUGGCUCACCUAGGCGACGAUCCCUAGCUGGUCUGAGAGGAUGACCAGCGACAAUGGAAUUGAGACACGGUCCAGACGCAUACGUGAGGCAGCAGUGGGGAAUAUUGCACAAUGGGCGCAAGCCUGAUGCAGCCAUGCCGCGUGUGUGAAGAAGGCCUUCGGGUUGUAAAGUACUUUCAGCGAGGAGGCGUUACUCGCAGAAGAAGCACCGGCUAACUCCGUGCCAGCAGCCGCGGUAAUUC